UUAUCAAGCUGCUGAAAAUGACGUGUAAAAUUGCAAUUUAUUGUCUUAUUCUUCUUGUAGCCUUGAUUGGCUUGGUAUGGGCAGCACCACUCAAUCACGCAGAUAACGGAGGUGAGUGUGGCUAUAAAGUUACGUGUGUAGAGACAACGUUUCGUGAUGGAUCGUCAAAGUCAAAGUGGUCGAUUUCUGGCGAAGAAAUAAGACUGCCUUCCGGAUGGAGGAAUAUUGGGUCAGCUGUCAGCCCGGUCCCCAGCUUGGAUGGAGAAUUUUCCCACGAAUAUGUUUGGUUCCAACUGGAUCAAUCGGCUCCUGCUCGUGGCGAUGGAGGAGGAAGACUGUGCUGAUUAAAGCAAUUAAAAUAUUGUGAAUUUUAUUCUGUGAAUAUUUAAAGCUGCCAUGCAUUGUACAUGACUCAGAUGUCAACAUUAAAAGUGUGACAUAAAAUGCUUCGAAUUUUAGAUCUAGCCUGUACCUACUUACUUAUAAAUAAUCUAAACACUAGUUUUACUUGAAAUGAAAAACAAAAUGUAAUAAGAUAAAAUUUAGAAUUUUUAUUAUGUAGAAUUUAUCCAUCUCCACAUCACUCUCCUGCUGAACCAAUUUUAAAAAUUAUUUUUCACAUGAAUUUAAAUCGUUUCUUCAGCCCCAAAAAUAAUAAAAAUAUACAUGCAUUUAUAGUAAAUCACGUUCUAGCAUAUGAAAAAAAAACGUAUUAAAAGGAAAUCAGGGAUUUAAAACGUUUGCAUGUGCAAGGAUUUGAACCGUUGACAGUCUGACACAGAAAAAUAAAACGGAUCACCAGACAACGUGCACACUGUCGUCCCCACAUGACAUGGGCGCAUACACACCCGACAAGCCGCAGACGUCUACUCACAGUAGUGCAAUGUAACAGAGUUACCCUGUGAGGUGCGUUGUGCCCAACAAUCCGGACGCUCCUACCACUACCCCAUGAGCGUCACCAAAGGAUUACGUUUUUGAAAAGUAGACAUUUAAUUCGUCCAUUCAUAAAAUCUUGGAUUCGA